CGAAAGCCUGACGGAGCAAGACCGCGUGAGGGAGGAAGGUCUGUGGAUUGUAAACCUCUUUUCUCAGGGAAGAAGAACUGACGGUACCUGAGGAAUCAGCAUCGGCUAACUCCGUGCCAGCAGCCGCGGUAAGACGGAGGAUGCAAGCGUUAUCCGGAAUCAUUGGGCGUAAAGCGUUCGUAGGUGGUCUUGCAAGUCUGCUGUUAAAUCCGAGGGCUUAACCCUUGUUCGGCGGUGGAAACUACAAGACUAGAGGGCGGUAGGGGCAGAGGGAAUUCCCGGUGUAGCGGUGAAAUGCGUAGAGCUCGGGAAGAACUCCGAUGGCGAAAGCACUCUGCUGGGCCGUGCCUGACACUCAUGGACGAAAGCUAGGGGAGCA
rnacentral:rRNA from 1 species